ACGGAAGGCAGCAGUGGGGAAUAUUGCACAAUGGGCGAAAGCCUGAUGCAGCGACGCCGCGUGAGUGAAGAAGUAUCUCGGUAUGUAAAGCUCUAUCAGCAGGGAAGAAAAUGACGGUACCUGACUAAGAAGCCCCGGCUAACUACGUGCCAGCAGCCGCGGUAAUACGUAGGGGGCAAGCGUUAUCCGGAUUUACUGGGUGUAAAGGGAGCGUAGACGGUUUGGCAAGUCUGAAGUGAAAUGCGGGGGCUCAACUCCUGAACUGCUUUGGAAACUGUCGAACUAGAGUGCUGGAGAGGUAAGUGGAAUUCCUAGUGUAGCGGUGAAAUGCGUAGAUAUUAGGAGGAACACCAGUGGCGAAGGCGGCUUACUGGACUGUAACUGACGUUGAGGCUCGAAAGCGUGGGGAGCAAACAGGAUUAGAUACCCUGGUA
rnacentral:rRNA from 1 species